GGCAUCCAUUUCCGUUCUAU
rnacentral:snRNA from 1 species